AUUGAACGCUGGCGGCAUGCUUUACACAUGCAAGUCGAACGGCAGCGCGGGCUUCGGCCUGGCGGCGAGUGGCGAACGGGUGAGUAAUGCAUCGGAACGUGCCCAGCCGUGGGGGAUAGCACGGCGAAAGCCGGCUUAAUACCGCAUACGACCUGAGGGUGAAAGCGGGGGAUCGAAAGGCCUCGCGCUAUUUGAUCUGCCGAUGGCGGAGUAGCUCGGUGGUGUGGUAAAGGCGUACCGAGGCGACGGACCGUAGCUGGGCUGAGAGGACGACCAGCCAAACCGGGACUGGGACACGGCCCAGACUCCUACGGGAGGCAGCAGGGGGGAAUUUUGGACAAUGGGGGCAACCCUGAUCCAGCCAUGCCGCGUGCGGGAAGGAGGCCUUCGGGUUGUAAACCGCUUUUGUUCGGGAAGAAAUCCUCUGGGCUAAUACCCCGGGGGGAUGACGGUACCGGAAGAAUAAGCACCGGCUAACUACGUG
rnacentral:rRNA from 1 species